rnacentral:lncRNA from 1 species
AUGGAUAUAUCCCUCUCCUCAUGGAUAUAUCCCUCUCCUCGUGGAUAUUCCUCUCCUCAUGGAUAUCCAUCUCUUCAUGGAUAUCCCUCUCCUCAUGGAUAUCCCUCUCUUCAUGGCUAUCCCUCUCCUCAUAGAUAUCCCUCUCCUCAUGGAUAUAUCCCUCUCCUCAUGGAUAUCCCUCUCCUCGUGGAUAUUCCUCUCCUCAUGGAUAUCCAUCUCUUCAUGGAUAUCCAUCUCUUCAUGGAUAUCCCUCUCUUCAUGGAUAUAUCCCUCUCCUCAUGGAUAUAUCCCUCUCCUCAUGGAUAUAUCCCUCUCCUCAUGGAUAUCCCUCUCCUCAUGGAUAUCCAUCUCUUCAUGGAUAUCCCUCUCCUCAUGGAUAUCCCUCUCUUCAUGGCUAUCCCUCUCCUCAUAGAUAUCCCUCUCCUCAUGGAUAUAUCCCUCUCCUCAUGGAUAUCCCUCUCUUCAUGGAUAUCUCUCUCUUCAUGGAUAUCCCUCUCCUCAUGGAUAUCCCUCUCUUCAUGGCUAUCCCUCUCCUCAUGGAUAUCCCUCUCCUCAUGGAUAUAUCCCUCUCCUCAUGGAUAUCCCUCUCCUCAUGGAUAUAUCCCUCUCCUCAUGGAUAUCCCUCUCUUCAUGGAUAUAUCCCUCUCCUCAUGGAUAUUCCUCUCCUCAUGGAUAUCCCUCUCCUCAUGGAUAUAUCCCUCUCCUCAUGGAUAUAUCCCUCUCCUCAUGGAUAUCCCUCUCUUCAUAGAUAUCUCUCUCUUCAUGGAUAUCCAUCUCUUCAUGGAUAUCCCUCUCCUCAUGGAUAUCCCUCUCCUCAUGGAUAUAUCCCUCUCCUCAUGGAUAUAUCCCUCUCCUCAUGGAUAUCCCUCUCUUCAUGGAUAUCCCUCUCUUCAUGGAUAUCUCUCUCUUCAUGGAUAUCCCUCUCCUCAUGGAUAUAUCCCUCUCCUCAUGGAUAUCCCUCUCCUCAUGGAUAUUCCUCUCCUCAUGGAUAUCCCUCUCUUCAUGGAUAUCCCUCUCUUCAUGGAUAUCCCUCUCCUCAUGGAUAUCCCUCUCUUCAUGGAUAUCUCUCUCUUCAUGGAUAUCCCUCUCCUCAUGGAUAUAUCCCUCACCUCAUGGAUAUCCAAGUAUUGA